GAGAGUUGCUUCCAGUCUUCAGUCCUUUUCCGUUUGGGGAGUGCAUCGUUGUUUGCUCUACAUAGGAUGAGACGGGCAGGGCGGUGUAGCCCGCUUACUCUACGCUGUAGCAGUCUGGGGGCACACUGUGUGAGGGGAGAGCACGUGCAGACAGGAAAGAAAAACCUCACAGUUUUUUCUGUGAGAAAAAACCUCCAGAAAUGAGCUCCAUGCAGGAGCUCAUUGUUCCUGAAUCUUUUUCAAAAGGCUGGCGUUUCUGGGUUCUUUUGCCUGUGGGUGCUGUAGGAACAGAUGCAGGAGCUGUGUGGAUGCCAUUGAAGUCAUUCUCAAGAUACUGAUGUGGUUCUCAGCAUAACAUCGAUGAGAAAACAGCUCAGAGCGGGAAGAAAAGGAGAAAACGGCAGCUUCUCAGAGUCUUUCCCCAUUAUCUGCAUCCAGGCUCCCCACAGAGCAUGGAGCAUUCUUACCAUGAAGUGGUGACCCUCAACUAUCGAAAUUAUUCCUUUGGUGAAAGAGCAACAUGAGAAGGCAUUAAUAUCCAAAAUUCCCUAUGGGAUAAUUUCAGAUGUUGAGAUACUAGUGAAGAAGGGAAAGUGGAAUGGCUACUGUACAUCUGAAUGCAAUGUCAACUUACCACAACAGGAUUAAGAAAAUGCACUUUUAAAUGGGAUGGCAUUAGUGGUCCAGAUAAAUCAAAUUUCUGGGAAAGAAAAGUAAUUAGGAGGUAUUUUUCUCUGUAUGUUGAUAAGAAAGAUUAUUUAAAUACAGUAUUAGAAUCAGAGAACAUGGGAGGUGUAUGUAGACUGAAAUUUGUAAAACUGACAUUUUUUUCAUGGUAGUUUCAGAUUAUGAUUUUCUUCUGUAUUUUCACCCAGAAUACCACAGCAGUGACAAUGUGUCUUGUGUCCUUCAGUCCUGUGAUUAUCAUUUGUCCUAUUACACCUGAGGUUCACUGGUUCAGGUGCGUUCUGUAAGAUUCCUUUGCUAUGAAGUUCGUAUAUUUUACCUUUGGUAAAGGUUUGGUGUGAUUCACUGAGAAAUGUGCAUAAACCAUUGUGAUAAAUCUGGAAACUCCAAUUUUUCCCCUAGUUUUCUUUUGCCUCUAGUUUGCUUUGGAAAAUGAACACCUUCACAUUUGUUUAAUAAAGAUACUAGCUUUUCAAGUUGUAAUCAGCUAAGACUUGCUCUUUAAGUUUCUAUUAUACUCUACACUCAUGCAACAGACAUACUCUGCUUUAUCACGUCUUCAUAUUUUCAAGAGUUUAUAAGAAUCAUAUUAAUGUAUGCUCAGUUGUAUUGUUUCUGAAAUAUAGCUCAAGUCAAAUGGUAAAUAAUUUCAGAGAUAUCAGAUUCAGAACCAAUAGCUCUAGCUUAUUUUAUAUCAUUCUGUUUCUAUAUUUAUAAAAUGUAAAGUGUAUCAUCCAAAAAAUAGAUUAUAAGAUUUAUCCAAUUUAAAUAAAUAGUAUUCUUCUUUUAAAAUUUGGUAGAAUUUACCAGUGAAGCCAUCUAGUUCUGGUAUUUUUUUGCUGGGAGGUUUUUGAGAACUGAUUCAAUCUCUUUAAUAAUUUGGUCUGCUUAGAUUGUUUUAAAUAUUUUCUUCAUGACUCGGUUUUUUACUUUUAAUUUUUUCUUUGGCUCAUUGAUUAUUUAGAAAUUGUGUUGCUUAAUUUCCACAUACUUGUAAAAUUUCCAGACUCUGUUCUCUUGUUCAUUUCUGGUUUCUUACCAUUGUGAUUGAAACAAUACUUAGUAUAUAAGUGAUGUAAAUAGAAAGACAAAUAACUUACAUUAUCACUUUGUGCAGAAUCUAAAACAUGACGCAAUUAACCUCAAAUGAACCUAUCUAUGAAACAAACAGAAUCACAGACAUAGAGAACUGACUGGUGGUUGUCAAGGGGGAGGGGUUGAGGGAGGGAUGGAGUGGGAGGCUGGGGUUAGCAGAUGUAAGAUUCUAUAUAUGAAAUGGGUAAACAGCAAGGUCCAGCUGUAGACCACAGGGAACUAUAUUCAAUAUGCAGUGAUAGGAGCUUCCCUGGUGGUACAGUGACUAAGACUCCAUGCCCCCAAUGCAGGGGGCCUGUGUCCAAUACCUGGUGUGGGAACCAGAUCCUACCUGCUGCAACUGAGAGUUCAUGUGCCACAGCUAAAGAUUCCACAUGCCACAACCAGACCCAGCACACGAAAUAAAUAAAAAUAGACAUUUUUCAAAAUCCCAUGAUAAACCAUAAUAGAAAAGAAUAUUAAAGAAUGUGUGUGUGUAUAUAUGUGUGUGUGUAACUGAAUCACUAAAAAUACUUAGUAUGAUAUCAGUCUUAAGUUUGCUGAGAUUUGUAUAGUGACCCAUAAUAUAACCUGUCCUGGAUAAUGUUCAGUGGGCAGUUGAGAAGAAUAUGUAUUCUGCUGCUCUUGCAGGGACUGUUCUGUUUUUGUCUGUUAAGCACAUCUGGUGUAAAUUCAAGUUCAGUACUCCUUACUGAUUUUCUUUCUGGAUGGUCUAUUCAUUGUUGAAAGUCAAAUAUUAAAGAUUGCUACACUUAUUUUU